AAGUCGUAACAAGGUUUCCGUAGGUGAACCUGCGGAAGGAUCAUUAACACUUUCUUUCAAUACAAACCUUGGCGCUCCCUGCUUGGCUCUCGGCUCUGUCUUGAGAGUGCUCUUAUUUCGAUAAGACUCGUGGGGAAAAUAUAUGAGUCUGAUUGGGUGCAAGGUCAAUGGAUCGGGCUGAAUCUCUUCGGAGAUUGGUUCAUUGGCGUCUGCUUCGAGCAGAGACUUCGCUCAUUCGGAUAUCAGCCCCAACCCGGCUGGCCUUUUUUUUUUAAAACUUGCUAGAUUGUACUGAUUUGGGCUUUUCAGAUUGAGAGGAGCAAUCCUUUCUCUGGAGUCCUUAUGGAGAAAUCCAUUAAAUAACAAAACACAACUCUUAACAGCGGAUAUCUCGGUUCUC
rnacentral:misc_RNA from 1 species